rnacentral:lncRNA from 1 species
GUGGCGCUUUCAACAGUGUAGCUCUUGCUUCGAUUGUUGUGGUUAAUUACCUUCAGCUCCAGGCAUCUAUAUCUUGUCUUUAACGUGUCCCUGCAUUUAUCUAUUUUAUAAGUAGUUAAUUCGCUGAUAGCCUUCUGUGCUUUUUAUAUCUAUUAGAGUUGGGGUGUGAUGGUUUAAAUAUGGCACAGUUGGAAGCAUGGUUGAACUUGUAAUGGUCGUAGGCUGUGGUCUGUUGCUACCUUCACUAUAUAUGUCUGUAAUGGCUCGUUUUCUUAAUGAGAUGAAGAACUGAAUCCUCUUGUUAUGUUUAUCAUGCUCUGCUGCUGAAUGAAGCCUGAGACGUUUUGCAGAGCUUGUUGUGCCUGCAUGAUCCUGGCUACAAAGAGAACCACUGCUUGUAUUUUUUUAGUGCUCCAGAGACCUUGCUUCUUUUCGAAUGUUAAGUUUAAAACUCGAAGUCAGUUGCCUGAUAGAUGAUGUUUUCUUUGCAAUUUGUGGCCCCACAUGUGUUUGUUUUAAUGUCCUGUUGUUUGUUCGUUCAUGCAUGGCGGCUCUGCGCAUUAGUUGUUUGUGCUAAUGCCAAGAGGUUGGGAUUAUGUUUGUUUUUUUGUGUUGUCUAAUUAACGCUCUUGUGUUUCUACUCUUUGGCUGCUGAGAUGUUCAUUUGGAUCAAGUAUUGCCGCUGAAGGUUUUUGUUCUCUGCCUUGCUCACAAACUUUUGUUUGGUCAAUUUGCACAAAUGUGGAUCAAAUUUGUAAGGGAGCUGAAACAAUGAAGUUACAGUCCUUGCUCUGUGUUGUACUGAACGCUGAGUUUUUUUUCUUUUACAUAUUGAUGUUUAAAUACAGUAGAAAAUGUGAUUGGCAAGAUAGUUAUACUUCAACAAUACUUCACCUGUUACCCAAUACUCCCUCCGUUCCUAAAUAUUUGUCUUUUUAGAGUUUCAAAUGGAUAUUUGUCUUUUUAGAGUUUCAAAUGGACUAUCACAUACUGAUGUACAUAGACAUAUUUUAAAGUGUAGAUUCAUUCAUUUUGCUCCGUAUGUAGUCACUUGUUGAAACCUCUAGAAAGACGAAUAUUUAGGGACGGAGGGAGUAAAAGAUAAUUUAGUCAGCAGUACUAUGUAGACUGGUUUAUUUUUUGUGCGUGACCCCUUCCUCAUCUCUAAAACAUGCAAUGUUCUCAGAUUUAUUUGCCUUUUUGCAUUGAGUUCAAAACUUGAACAUUUAGGAGGCAUUGACCAAUGUAGCAUGAGUACCGAAUACCUCUUCCUCGAGGUAUCUAACUUAUAAAGGAUGAAAGGGUUCGUAGUCACAACGAAGCCAGCCACGUCGCCUUUAAAUCGCUGCUGCCACCGCCUGUAAUUUUCGUUCCCCGCUGAGGGCAUUUUCGUCAUUUCGCAUCCGGGCGUAUAAAAGGGAGCAGCUCCUGUGGAGAAGACCUAGCUGCUCCUCCUCCCGCACUCGUGCGCCCCCUUUAUUCUUCCUCCCGCCUCACCUCUCUCCCCCCUCGACCCGCGACCCUCGUCCUGUCGCCGCCGGGACCCUCGUCCCUCUUGUCGCCGUCGCCUCCGCUGCCAAGUAGUGAGCGAGAGCAGCGAGAGGAACAACGAGCGAGCAGCCAAACCUUCAUGGCCUCCGCCCUCUCUCUUCCCCACCCCUCUCCCCUCACCACACAAGAGAAGAGAGGCAGGGAGUUGGACCGAUCAGGCGGCGGCCGGCCAUGGGACGGGAGGGCAGCGUUGGGCGAGCGAAAAGGAAAAGAAGCGAGCGACCGGAAGAAAAAAGACCUAGCCCGCGUCACCCCCCGUAACCCCCGCAGCCGCCUCCUCUCCUGUCGCCGCCGCCGCCUCGGCCUCGUCUCCACUGCGCCGCCUCCUCCUCUCCACUUCUCUCUACCACCGCAUGGCCGCCGCCGCCGCUCGCCUCUUUCUUCCCGUAGCUCCUGCAGGACGACGCCUCCCCAUCCUCCAUCAGCCGGGUCGGGCGAAGGUCGCCGGCAUCUUCGCGCUGCCACCUCUGCCCGUCCUCCUCUCUCGCCCAGCCACCACCGUUGCAAGGAGCAGGGAAGAUAGGAGACGACGACAAGAAGCAAUGGGUUGGUUGCGGUGGGCUUGAGCUGAGCAGGGGCCGGGUUAAGGUAGGUGUUGACGGCCUGGAUCCGUCGACGGGGGUCUGCCGGGCAUGGCGGCUGCUGGAAGGGCAGCAGCGGCCUGUGGGGAGUCGGCGGCACGGCAGCGACAUCUAUGGAGAAGAAUGGCCCAGCAGGCUCGUGUAGACAGGAGAUUCUCGGGGUGUUUGUCAAUUGGGCAGAUGGCGGCCAUCGGAGUUUCUUCAAUCGAUCUGGACAGGGCCACCACAGCGUACGCGAGGGCUGGAGGUGAGUGACCCUCUGGAGCCGCUUCCUCUCCCAGUUUUUUACUCCUUGAUUUUUAGAUCCUCUCCCAGUUUUUCACUACUUGAUUUUUAGAUUAUUUGAUAAUCUUAUUUGAUUUCUCAAUUUCUGGUUACCUAUGACGAGUAGAAGAAGAAUUUUGACAAAGGGUUUGAUGAAUAAGAACAGGUGAAUUCAAUUUGCCUUGAAUAUAGUCGCGUGUGUUCCCGCAUUUUGAUGUUUGAUUUUUUUUUCUGUGUAAGAGAGCAAAUGACAUGAUUUUGUACUCCUAUUACCUACUGACAGAAGAUACAUUUGUAAAUGAAGGUCUCAAUAAUGUUUGUUUUUACCUUGUGGUCUGAUAGACCAGUACAUACUGUUGGUCAUGUUAACAAAAGAUUUUGUCAUCCCUCUGUAUGAGCUGUAAUAAUAUUUACAUAUAUCUUUGACUGUGCAGAUUCAGAUUUUUCUCCUUCCUCGCCUCAUUGACAUGCUCUGCAUCUUCAGCUUGCAGGUUGUGGUCUUUCACUUCUCCUCUUGUUGGUUUGCUCUCUGGUUAAGCCAUGGAAGACACGCUUCGAUUACUUGGCUCCUCAAGGUAUGGUGCAUAUUGCCUCUGAUUUGCUUAUUUGAGUGUACUUUUAUACAGAAAAUUUCAUUUGCUUAUUUUCAAUUCUUUAGGGAUAUGAGAAGAGAGCUCUAUUGUUGGCAGUGGCUGCAUAAUUUCGACAAGUGAAUGGUUGAUCUUUGCUAUGUGGAUUGUGGACCGAUGGCAUAAUCUGUAUCUAAGGUUGGAGAUUCUGAAUUAGGUACGAGAAAGAUGACAGUCACUUUGUUUUCACUAUAUUAGUUUACUGAAUAUUUUUAAGGUUGGAACUGCAUGAUCAAAGUGACAAUAUAACUAAAUGUUCGAAGAAACUUAAGGCUAGACACCACAUUAAUUUCCUUUUUAAUUUGAAUUUAUAAGCAGACACCUGAAUUUAGCUUGAUACAGAUCCUAUGAUCCCUUGGAAGCCUAUAUUGUAAAAUUUGAGCAGUUCCCAUGACAGAAUUUAUAUUAGAACUUACUUUCUCUUUCCAAAUGCCCAUAUAUUUUGUUGCUCUAUAAUUCAACUUAUACGCAUUUAGCAGCGUAUCUUUAUCAUGUUAUCCAGUUCUUACCAUACCAUGUGGUAGCUAAAUGUGCUGAUCUACCCCUGCAGAAUUAGUACCGUUUUUCAGCUAUGUGUAAUUAAUCAGCUACUUCCAUUUUUUGAUGAUUAAUUUUUAAAUAAAGGUUCAGAGAAUGGCUUCUAUUGCCUUCCAGACCACCUGGUAAAGGAUGAAUAGGUGUUGGUUGCCAUCCAGAUCUCCGUCUUGGAUGCUGGGAGCAAUUCUCAAAUUGUUUGUGCAUGAAUUGACCGAUUCUCCUUUCUCUUGCAGAGUGUCUUGUUUAUCUGAGGUGGAUUCUUAUCUUCUUAUCCACAUGCUUGCUAAAUGUACAUUUUUCUUUCAUUUUAGCUAGAAAGCAAGCAGCCUUACACGAUUUAGAUAUCUUUUACAUGAACUUCUUAUGCAACCAGUAUGUUAUGAAUAUGCAAUGGCACACAUUGUUUCUUUAGUGAGAAAUUCCUGAACAUACUCUCUAUUGUGUUAUGGGAGUCUGAUGUACCAGCCCAUGUGGCUGAUUGUGUUAUGGGUGAUUUGCCCAAGCACCGUUAAGUUACAAAGUUUUGCUUUACUUCCAAAAAAAGGUCUGUUGAAACGUGCCUAUUGACCACCAAAAACCACUUUAUUUUUUGUGUAUGUUCGCCAUUUUAGUCCAAUUGUUGAUAUGCUGCCAACAACUUUUCCAUCCCCUCUUUCUUACUAUUUAGUUAUUUCCUCAGGCAAGUUGAUGGUUAUUUCUACUAUUGCUAAUUUAGUUUUGGUUCUAUCUGUGUGCAUGGCAUGCAGGCCUUCCCAGGAGAUGCAGUUCUGAAAUUUGUCACAGUUCUAUGGAUCUAUUAUUGUGAGAACCGAUGAUAUAUGGUGAGUUGUCUGACACCAUCAUUUCUCCUUUCUAGCGCUUGAGUUGACAAAUUUCAUGUAAUCAAAUGGAGUCCCUGCAUCUUAAGAUGUCAUCCAUUUAUCACAUGUAAUGUGUUGUUUCCCUUUUAUGCGCCAGAGUUCUUUCCUAUAUUCUGAGCAUCAAAGCCCUUUUAGAUUGUAUACUGGACAUGAUUUUAUCUACUUUAAUAUAUGCUUUAUGCGCGUCUGAAAGUGUCCACUAUGUUUAUUUGCUCCAUGAAUUUAACUGUUGUAUUUGCUAAGAAUAGUGUAAUUUUCUGGGUCACAAUUACCUUUAAACAUCAACUACGUUCUUAUUCCUAUCAACGAUCUAAGUAAAACAUGAAAAACCUGGGUUUUCCUUUGUCUCUGGCCAGUGUUAUAUACUUAUUCGAUACCUACUAUCCUCUAUAUAUACUUGUGUUUUCCCCCUCCAAUAUAGGUGCCUGGACUAUGACCUCUGCCUUUUGACGGUUGCUUUUCCUUUGCUACUAGGUAUUGUUCUUGUAUUCAAGAGUUUUGUUUCUACAAUUGCCUUUGACGUACCUACACAUCAAUCAUUUGCCAAAUUAAAACAAAUGACCUUCUCAAAACAUAUGCAUGCUUUCGACACCCUGAAGAGAUGUGUUUACUUUACCCGCAAACUUCUAUACACGGACUGUUUAAUGAAUUUUAAUGUGUGGUUGUGUGAUGUAUACUUCAGUAAAUAUUGCUUCUCCAAUUUACAAUAUUAUUAUGGGGAAAAUUUGACACAUAAAAAUGCACACAAGUUAUGAAUAUUUUUAGCUCAAUUGAUAAUUGUUCGUCAAAAGAGAUCACACAAUACCCCUUGCUCUGAAUUAUUUAGAUUGAAGCCAUACUCUGUGUAGACAUGCAGUUAUUUUUAAAGUAAAAGAAAAUAAUUAUUUACUGGUAGUAGGAUCACAGCGGCAAAUUACUGUGUCUCAGGUUUGAAAGCAGGUAGAAUAACGAGAAAGUUUGGAUACGUCAAUUUCUUUUUUCUUAUAUUUAAUUUCCUAAUGUAUGAUGGUGGAGUUGCAUCUCUUUACUGUCAUCGAGGAAAAGGAUGACCAAGCUCAGCAGUCCAAUCUUUGUCUUUGGCACUAGGAAAGUUGCCUAAAAGAUAUAUAAUGCCGGUCCAUGUAUUUAGUUGUUUGUGCCGCAGCCUGUGUGCUUCCAUUUGCUUUCUAACAUUAAUGGGGUACAUGUACAUGUACUAAGAACCGUUUGACUAUAUGUGACCAUCAAGAGAACUAAUAUUUCCUGUCAUCUAUUCAUUUCGGCCUUAUCAUCUCACUUUCGUUUGUUACAUCUUGUUCAAUAUCAUUGUUGUAUCAAUGCUACCCAUCUACCCUAUAUGCAUGUCGUAAUUCGUAAACCUUGACAAAAGCAAAGAACAUGCUUAAUCAAAAAAUUCAAUGAACAUAGGGUCCACUUGGCACUGAAUCUUAUAUUUACUAAUUGGAGGCACCUUUCAAGUCUUCUAAUUAAUCCACAUCAUCACAAUUAAUUAGACAGUUGGAUUAUAAAAUUAACGACCAAGAUAAGAAGAAAACUUGCGUAACACAGAUGGUUCCGGCUGUCCAAAAUAAUGGCAUAUGACACGGCCAAUGUGUUGAAACAAGAAAAAAAACAUCCAUCUGUUCCUUUAAAAAAAUGAUAGACUCCUUCCAUAACAACUCUCGAGGAUCUGUGAAACACAGUUUUACAUGCAGGAUCCAUGAAACUCUUCUGCCAAUUAAAGAAAGGAAAAACAGCGCUCCUUAAAGAAAACAUCCCAUCGCUCCUGUGCAUCUUUUCAGGCAACUUCCGCUUCUUUGGUCCAUUAAAACAACAUCUGACACGCGAAAAUUCUCUUCUGAGCCCGGUCUCAGCUGAUCUUGAAAUCAGAGUCGUCCAGAUACAUUAAGAUCCGAGCCAGGAGCUUUAUUCUCUUCUGUAUUUCCGUUGUACAGAGGGAGAAAAGAAAGCGGGCCUGCGUCAUUAAUUGCUGUGCGCGGCACGGCCGUUUGCCGGAUCAGGCUCGGUCGCACGGCCCGGUAAUAUUUCUGAGCCGUCUUGACGGCCCGACGACUUUUCAGCCAAGUCUCGUCUGCUGUGUGCUUAGGUGCUUUUUUUUAUGCAUGCAGAUAAAUCCGCCGUCUGCUGCUCGCAACCAUGCAGGCACAGGCACCCCUUUCUAAACAAUCUGUGUGAUGUUUACCCUGUAAGAAUUCCUAUAAAGAUGCCAAACCCGCGACACACAUUUCGCUAAUCAAAAUCACAAAGGCGUGUUACUGUUACCCACAUGCUGACCGAUGUGCUUCAUGUCGCGCAUAACAUGACGACAUCAAGUCAGUACUAAUCACCACAGCACACUAAGUACGAAACAGACGCACACACAGCAACUGCUGCUGUAGUGGCAACGACAGUGUUACCAUCUGCAAGGCACAAAGAAACUUACUGAGCCCGUCUAUGUUUGAUUGUUUCGGUGCAAACGUCCUCCUCAUCGGGUCCAUCAUGCAUCCGUGUCGUCGCCACCAAGGUUGCACACUGCGCUGGACUCGCUCCUAUCCGCCGAAAAUGCAGCAACCUCUGCGAACAAGGCAGUGUCAUUUGGAUCGUGCUUGCUGAACCUUCUUCCAGGGGAGGAGGGACCAUGAUCCAACUCCUCCAAGCAAGCGCGCAUUUUGAUCGUGCUUGCUGAACCCUUCUUGCCAACGCAUUCCUUACUCCAGCAGGAUUUGCCUCCAUCCAGAAGUCACCGGAACCAGCUGCCGGCGCCGCUGUGCACUACAAAACUCCGGCGAGAACACGGCACCUGUGAGGAAUGAGACCGAUUUGGUCGACAACCCUUGGGUCCCAGGCAUUAUGAUCUCCUAGCGGGCCCAGACUUCAACACGUGCCACCUGGACCGCAGACCUGUUCCGCGGCCCACAAUAGUUUUCACGUCCCGGGCCGUGGCGCAGAGCCUCGCUGUAACGGAAACACUCCCCGCCCUACAAAACUGGCCCACACCAAACGACGGUACACACUCGUAUCGCGGCCGUAUACAUUUUUAACGCGGGUUGCGUUCUGACGCAGCAGAGCGGUUUUUUCGCAUCCCAAGGUGCCUACGAUCGGCACAAAUUUCGGGCUCAUCUGAGCCCGAGCACCAAAACGCCUUGUCCACAUCUGACACGUCCAAUUUAAACAAUAAAAAAGGUAUCCAUCGUUUCUUUUAAAAAAGAGACAGCUGCCACUCAAACAAAAAAAAGGCAUCCUUACAUAACAGCUCAUCUAUGAAACUCUUCUUGCCAGCUAAAACAAGGAAAGGCAUCUGUGCCUAAAAAAAAGGGAAAACAUCUCCAUGGGCACCUGUACAUGGAUGGACCUUUCAAGCCUUCUCACUAAUCCACAUCAUCAAAACUAACUACACAAGUGAAUUGUAAUUGUAAGUCCAGGAUUUAGAAUACAUCGACACAACUUUAUUACGCAAGUUUUGGAGUCCUGGGCAGCCACAACUUACAAGUUGUAAAUUCUAGAGAAUUAGCUACAAUAAUAAUUCUUCGCAAAAAAAAGCUACAAUAAUAAUUGAAUCGUACGUCCAGAAUAAGAAUACAUAACCAUUAGAUUGUGAAUUUAAUGGUCAAGAUCUAUUAAAAGGCCUGCAUCUUUAAAGAAAACACCAUGAACAUAUCUGGGAUUAAACCCACACGUUCGUACAAAGAAAAAGAUGAGAGUCCUUCCCUUAAAAAAAGAUGAGAGUCCCCCACAUAAAGAAAAAGAUGAGAGCCAUGCCGUAUUACGACAGAAAAAAAAAA